CCUACGGGGGGCUGCAGUGGGGAAUAUUGGACAAUGGGCGAAAGCCUGAUCCAGCCAUGCCGCGUGUGUGAAGAAGGCCUUCGGGUUGUAAAGCACUUUCAGUGGGGAAGAAAGCCUUGGGGCUAAUACCCUCGAGGAAGGACAUCACCCACAGAAGAAGCACCGGCUAACUCCGUGCCAGCAGCCGCGGUAAUACGGAGGGUGCGAGCGUUAAUCGGAAUUACUGGGCGUAAAGCGCGCGUAGGCGGUCUGAUAAGCCGGUUGUGAAAGCCCCGGGCUCAACCUGGGAACGGCAUCCGGAACUGUCAGGCUAGAGUGCAGGAGAGGAAGGUAGAAUUCCAGGUGUAGCGGUGAAAUGCGUAGAGAUCGGGAGGAAUACCAGUGGCGAAGGCGGCCUUCUGGACUGACACUGACGCUGAGGUGCGAAAGCGUGGGUAGCAAACAGGAUUAGAUACCCGAGUAGUC
rnacentral:rRNA from 1 species